CAUUGCCUAUUUUGUAAAGUUUUCCCGACUAUUUUAAUAAUAUUUUGGUGGCACUGGUAAUGAGUAUAAUAUAGCGCGGUCUAUAUGUAAUCUACGAUGGUCAUUUUAUCGUAAUAUUAUAUAGGUACAAGUAAACCAAAACUACCUUCGUCGUUUUUAACCAACUACACUACGCGACCUUUUUGCUGUGGUUUUAAUCGCGAAAAUUAUCGAGUUUAAACGCGACGACACUCGAACGAUCCUUUUGUCGACCUGAUACUGUGCAAUGGCGAGGGAUAAUUUAUAU